rnacentral:lncRNA from 1 species
GUAUGUUGACUGCUUGUUCUGUCUGUGGAUAUUAGUUAGGGUCCUCUCUUGUGUAGCCCGGGCUGAACUCAAAUGUAUAAUCCUUCUGCCUUUACCUUACAAGUGCCGGGUGUCACAAGACAUGGACCAUCGUGUCAAGUUACAUAUAUACUUGUGUAUGUACAUACAUGCACAUACAUAUUACGUUUAUUUCUGCACAGAGCAUAUGCCUACAUGAGGUCAGAGGUCAGCUAACAGCAGGUGGUUCUCUCCUCCCAUCGUGUGGGUUCCAGGAAUUGAACUCAGAUCCUCGGCUCUGAGACACAUGCUUUUACCCCCUGAGCCAUCUCACUGGGCCUAUGGCUAUUCCUGACCCUAACUUAUUGAAUGUGAAAUUGAUAUUAACUGCCAAAUAAGGUCUUCCAAGGCCAGGCUUCUAGUGGGAGUCUCUGUCUGAAGAAAAGCUGAGGAACUGAGGGCUUUAUUCAGUCUCCUGUGUGCUUCGCUCGAUGAAGGAGGCUCACUUGCCCUCUUUCCUACCUCUUUCCCUCCCUCCCCCCCUUUCCCUCCAUUUCCUGUUCAUUCCUCUUCUCCUUUCUGAAAGAAACCCCAGGCUCUUGUGAGAGCCACUCUGUAGCCAAGGAUGACCUUGAACCUCGAUCCUAAGUGCUGAGGUCACUCCCACGCACACUGAGCCCAGUUUAUUCUGUGCUGGGGAUCAAACCUGGGGCUGUGCCUGCUAGCCAAGCACUCUACCUACUGAGCUACAUCCCCAGACCCCACCCGUCCUGACUUAACUACUGAGGCUUACAACAUGAAUGCUGUUAAGAGACCUCGUUCCUUCAGAAGCCCAUCCUUUUAGUAAGCCCCCCACCCAGUUAAAUGAGCUUUGGGGUGCUCUAUACAGAUCAGCCGGAGCCACCUCUCCUUACUCUCUGUGGGUCCUUAAUGUUGAUUUUGAAGACAACUUGGAAACUGAAUAUUUGCAUUCACCCUUGGGAUGGAAAUAAUUCCCUAUCUUGAUGAUAAGAUAGAGUCUAAGAGCAACCCUGGGGUUGUCCUGUGUCUUUUUCCAAACCUGGGCAGUUCUACAAACACACCAAAGGAAAAGCACUGGUUUUCGUUCUUUGCAGCCCUUCUUGAUAGUGCCAGCCAGAUACCCAGGGGCUGUCCCAUCUCAGGGUCUCCCGCACCUCGUCCGUCUACUUGGCUGCUAGAAACCCCAAGUCUGAAUAUUGCAAAGCACACCCCGGUGCUGACGUGUACCCUUUCCUGACUGUCAAAGCCGUUUACAGGACUUCGGGGUCGCAGUGUGCCUCUUGUGGAUACCCGUGUCCCCUUGGGCCCUGGAGUGUAGUGCUUGCACAUGUCUGCCUAGCAGGAAGGAUUUCCCUGAAACCACUUCUAUUCCAAUCCAUACUGGUUGAAGGGCACUGCAGAGUGGUGAGGGCUUCUGAGGGAUCAUUCACUCUCACGUGGUCACGGCCUGGCUUCUCCUACCAUGGGUACUACUUUGUACAUAACAGACUGUGAAUACAACUUUUUGAAUAAAUACCUUUCAAACUC